rnacentral:ncRNA from 1 species
CGUUAAGGUCGCAUUGUAAUAUUGAUGCACAAAAGAGAAUCCGGUGUGAAUCCGGAACGAUACCGUCACUGUGUAUGGGAGCUAUAUUCAGAAACCACUGGGAAACCGGGAAGGGAAUGCAGCGAUGAACGAAGUCAGGAGAACUGCCUUAAUG